rnacentral:lncRNA from 1 species
GCCCGUUCUCAGCAUUAUCUGCUCUCUAGGUCUCACUCUCUAAACAGGUUUACCUGGAGCUCUCAUUUUAGUCCUAAAAUCCGUAGUUCUGCAAUCUUUCUCUACAAUACCUAUGUGGGUUUCUUCUGCAACUGUGAGUUCUCUCUUUUUACUUCUCCAACUAACAAUUUCAGUGUUUCCUUUUGCUCUUGCUGGAGUUGCAGUUUCUCUCUCUAACUGCUUGAGUGUUGCUUUAUUAACCUAGCAAUUUUUUAUUAAAAGGAUUGGAACUCUAUGUUUAUUUUCAGGUUGCUUAUUGGUUCUGGGUUUUCUGUGCAGAGAUUUAUAUCUUCUAUUCAGCUUGCCGGUUCCUCUGUUUCAAGCAGAGGCCUUUCGACUAAGACCCUCUCUUGUUAGGGUUUCUUCUGUUAAGCCGUUGAGCCGAGUCUCCAGGAGUUUCAGAGGCAUUGUGGUCAAGGCAGCCACGGUUGUGGCCCCAAAGGUUGCUUCUCACCUCCAUUUUUCCUUUUUAUGUAUAAGGAUCCAAGGCUUUGUGUUUUAGGGUUUAGGAUUUAUCAAUUUAAAAACCAUUUUUGGCUUCCUCCAGCCUCCCCCAUCUUUCAAUUUGUUUUUCUUUACUUAAAGUUGAUUUCCUUAACACUAGCACUCUGGUUAUUUUUAAUAUUUAGUCCUGUACUUUUUAACAUUCACUAGUUGAUUAAUGAAUUGGAUUGAUUUAUGUGUAGCUUGAUAUCAGACUGAUUUGUUUGUGAUCGUUUGUUUGAUUUAGAUGGAUUGGGAAUUUUUUGUAAUUUUUUUCUUUUUUGUUCUCAUUUCAUGGAGUAAUCUGGUUCUAGCUCGGUUCCUAAAGUUUCUAACAUCUAAAAAAUAAAAAUUAUGAUGAAAAUAUGCUAUUCUUUUCUAGGGAGAAGAUGAAUUAUUUGGCUAUAGUGCUGAAUGGAUGGCCGAAACUUGCAAUUUUGGGGCGCUCCCUUCUUCUAUGUUUCCACUCUAUUAACAGUUGUAAUUCUACAUGCCUACCCUUAUAAACAAAUGUUCUCUUGGAAAUUUUGAUCUUUUAACUACAAAUAUUAAGAAUGUUAUAAUUAUUUGAGAAAUAACUAGAAAAAGGAAUGAAACUCUAUUGUGAGAUAUGCAUAUUCAUACUUCUCUAGAUUGGUAUAAAUGCAACCAGUGCCGAAGUGUUUGAGGUUCUGAGUCAGCACAGGCUACAUUAUGCACUAUUGGAUAUAGUUUUCCUUUAAUUAUAAGGAAAAGGAAAUAUGGGUAAUGUUACUGACAACAUUAUAUGGAUGAAUUGAGGACUUUGUUUAUGUGUGCUGUUUGGGUUCUGGUGUCCUCUGUGACAACUAUGCAGAUGUGCACUAGAAAUGAUUGUGUAUUAAGUUAUGAUCUUAGAGUUUUGUUGUAUUCACUGCUAUUGGAUCGAUGAUUGCAAGUGAUGGCAGGCUAUUCAAUGAUCAUUGUUGUUUAGAAUGUUGACUUGUUUAAUAUUUGUUGCCAGCGUAUAUUCACUGUGCAAGAUACUGUUUGAACUUUGAAGCAAUUCUUGUCGAUUUAAACUCUAUUGAAUCUAGAUAUCAAGUGACAUUCAAGUUCUAGAUUUGUAUCAGAAUUGUAAUAGGAUCAGUGCGAAGUUUGAACAUUAUUUUGGAAAUUUGGUUCAAUAAAAUGCAGUGUUAUAUCAUUUGAGGUUAAAUGCAUGCAUUUUAGUCUUUGGAUGUUAUAUUGUCAAAUUUUUCUUUAGAUUAUUUGAUUUGGACGAAACAAGAUAUUUAGAAAAACAAAAAAGUAAAUGAUAAAAUCAACAUUAUGAUUAGAAAUGAUUAAUAUGAAAUGGGAGUGUAUUGAGAGGGUGCCAUCCAAUACAUCUAUAAUAUGCAUGUACUGGGUUAUGGCAAUAUUUUAUGUAAACUAUUGCUGGUUAUAGCUUAUGUAAGUAAGAGAUUUACAUAUGCUGGUCUUUAAAUGGCAUUAAGAGGAUUAUCAUAGCUAGUUAUGUCCUUGAGUUGGACGCAAUAUCUUCCUUAGCUGUUUCCUAAAAAGAAAAAUCAAAUGUCUCUCAUAGGGUGUGAUGUGGCAGAUAGAUGGUGCCUAGAGGGUUGUAUGUUAUUCAUUAAAUUAUUGUCCCUUGUCCAAUGAUGAAACAUGGCAAAAAGCACUUCUCAUAUGAAAGGUUUUAGUUGGAUGGGAAGACAUGCAAUUACAUUUGUAAGGGGCUUGCCAAAUGGCAUGCCAUUUGUAUAAAGUUGCUUUAUGCAUGCGGAAAUCAAUGGAGAGCUGUGAGUGUGGGAUGCCCCACUUAACUAUCUUGGCCCUUGGUUUGAUCAUUUUAUGGUGGAUGCAUUGCUUUCAACUUACGGGUUUUGAGAUCAUAAUUAAACCUUGGGUAAAAUUUGAAUUCUGAUUUGAAUUACGGUUUCUUUAAGGGGAUAAUGAUGCUUUAAUCUCAAUCUUCCAUAUCAUAGCCAAUUGAUGAGUUGAAUGGCCAAGAUCUUGACCGUUCUUACCCCUUGGAUGCCUUUAAUCAAGGGUCCAUGUUUAAUCACUAAGGAACCUUCAAAACACUAGCCUCUAUAUACUAUUUUUCUCCCACUUUUUUAUAACAUACUUGGAAUUUUAAAAAGAGCGAGACCCGCCAAAAGUGGCACGCCAUCCUCCUUUUCUUUACCUUGUGGUCAAAAGCCUUCCUAGAGAGAAGAGAGAGAUUCUUUUGAGUAGUCUAUUGAUACACACCAUUGCUUGAGGCUUAUGCAUGGUAGUCAUGCAUUGAAGUUUCAACUCCAUCCAAGUUUCAUGUUCUUGUUGUAACUUAAUCUCAAGAGCAAGGUAAUUUGCUCGUCUUGAACUCAACUAGUUGGUUUAGCUCAUGCAUUUAUGCCUACCUUGUUUCCCCGCAUGCUUUAGUUACGAUACUCUAUUUUGGCAUAAAUUAACCUAAGUUUCAUUGAGAAAUUUCUAUCCUACAUUUUCGGAUGUUUCUUUAGAGUAUCAUCAAUCUAAAGUGGGUUUUAUCACAUUACGAACCUUAAAUUUUCAAGCAUUCAUUAUACCAAAAUUUUCCCAUAGGUGUGCUUGAGCAUUGUACCACAUCUCUCACUUCAAGCCUAGGCAUGCCACAUAGAUACUCUCACUCUUCUCCGUUGCAGCCCCUCAUUUUGAGCAUCGUAAAUCUGAGUUUUAUUGAGUGUGGUUUUAUGCUCCAUAGUGUUUUUACUUCCCUUUGAUUGAUUAAAUUUAGACCCACGAUCUUGCACUAUUAGUAGUCGGCAUACACAAGGGUGUAAGUAAUAGUCGGUGGUAAACUCAAUGUGUUGAGCCCUUUUAAUGGCUUCCAUGAUAUUAGUUAAAGUGCACACAUUUGGUUCAUGUUUUUAUAAGAGGAGAUUUAGUGUUUGCAUUUUGUAAUUUCACAUUUGUAUUAUUCAAGUGUAUGUCUCAUGAAGCUUAUGUUUAUUUUGCUGUAAUUUUAUGCCAUAAUGAUAUAAUUUGAUAUUAGACUCAAUCUUCAAGUGUUUAGUAGAGUGGAAUUGUCUAAGGACCAACUUCAUGUAAUUUGUAGUGAUUCUAUGUGAGGAAAUGAGUGAUUUGUAUGCACAUAAGGUGUGCUGUAAAUUGUGUAAUUGAGUUGUACUUUGGCAUUGUAUUAUUGAUUUUUUUUGUUUUGUACACCUUGAACUUGUCCUCUAUACUAUCUAUCAAUUGGACAACAAUAUAAAGAUGAACUUCUACUUUGCUCUCAAUUUAAGACCCAACUUCAAUGUGGCUAUUUACGAGCGGAACAAUGUCUUUUAGUGGGCAUGGCUCCCGUCCUUUGAGAGUGCUUUGCAAGAGCAAACUCUUGAACGAGGGUUCUGACAAGACUUAGCAAACCCACCAUCUAAUUCUAAUUGCUUUGACACUGCAAAGCAAAGCCCUCUAGAGUGCAAUGCUUUGAUGUGUGCGUAGCUUCUAAAGUGCAAUGAGCAAGCCACCUAGUGGAGCGAGUUUAAAAGAGCUCAUAUGGCCGGUUCACCACCGAUGAUUGUUUACACUCCUUGUGUACGCCUACUAUCGAUAGCAGAAGAUCGUGGGUCCAAAUUUAAUCAAUUAAAGGGAAGCAACAUAUUGUGGAGCUUAAAAUACAUACAACAUAUUUAUAUGAUGGUGCUCAAAUGUGAGGGGCUGAAGUGAAAAAGGAUGGGAUUAAGUAUGUGGAACGCCUUGGAAUAAAAAGAGAGAUGAAAUCUAAUAUCCAAACAUGCUCAUGAGAUAAUUUUGAUAUAAUGGAAGAUUGGAAAUUUGAAGCUUUAAAGUGGUGGGAAACAUUUCAGCUUGUUUUUUGAAAAUGUGAUGUAGGAGAACUUGAAGAAACAAAGAAAAAUCAGCAAGAAGCAUACAAUUUUGGAGAAACCCCAGGGUUUACUCCCACUUAGCGUUCAAUACGUAGGCUUCUUUUGCAAGACAAAGUCUUUCUUUUAUUAAAGAGGAAUAUAUGAAUGACUCUCCAGCCCAUCGAUGCCCUUAUUUAUAUUGAAAAAUUAUUGUUUGGACAAUAUUUGUCCAUACAAUUUAACUUUUGACCAAAAGGUCCUAACUUAAAUAUAACUUGAAACUAAACUCCCUAACUUUAAUUAAAAUAUCUAAAAAUUCCCUAACUGUUCAAGCAAUGAAAUAAAUAAAUAAAAAUAUUUGAAAUAGCCUCAAAUAGCUAAAAAGAAACACCAAAACUAUUUAUUGCUCUUCUUAUUCUUCUUGGAAGCUCUCCUAGGGUUUUCAUCUUCUAAAUAUGAGUGAAAAUUAGGAAGAAUCUGUCGCUCCCAUAGAAGAUACUCAUGGCUACUUGUGCUCCGAUCUCCAUCAAAAUGUUACUUGUAUAUUAAUUAAAAGAAGUACAAAGAAAGUGAAGGGGUCAUUUUUUUUUUUUGGGGGGGGAGGGGAAGAGAAAUCCAAGCUUUAGACACAAUUGAGGGAGGGCAUUGGUUGGGGCUUGGGGUGUGAGUGAGAGAUGAGUAGAAGGAGGCCACCAAGAAGUUUUCCUAGGGAUUGGGGGUCCAAUUGAGGCUGUCCUAUCCCUGAAGAGGUAGAAAUAAGAAGUCUAGAGCGUUGGAAAGGGUUGAGAAAUCUUGAAAUUCCGCUUCAGAAAGAGGACUUCUCAAGAUGGGGCUCCACACCCUCCUGUUGCCCACCAACUGAAAGUAGAAUGGAGUUCCUUAAGGGGAGGGCAUUGGUUGGGGCUUGAGGUGUGAGUGAGAGAUGAGUAGAAGGAGGUCACCGUGAAGUUUCCUAGGGAUUGGGGGUCCAAAUGAGGCUGUCCUGUGCCUGAAGAAGUAGGAAUAAGGAGUCUAGAGCGUUGUGAAGGGUUGAGAAAUCUUGAAAUUCCACUUCAGAAAGAGGACUUCUCAAGAUGGGGCUCCACACCCUCCUGUUGCCCACCAACUGACAGUAGAAUAGAGUUCCUUAAGGGAAGCAUCUUCAAGCUAAGGGUCAAUCCAGAACAGAGUUUUGUCACCACGCAUGGGCGUAUAUCUGAUCUCAGAUUGAAAAUGGGGGUAAAAAUGCGUGAUAGAUUUUCUGAUUCCAGCAGAGUUACUGUGGACACGCCUUGACGGGACCCAUGAGGGGUCACUACUGCAAUAUUUACGCUUUAUCACCUCCUGCCAUAAGUGAUUACUUCGAGUGGCUAACCACCACCACCAUUUCCCAAGUAAGGCAAGGUUGUUGUCUUUGAGGUUACGUAUGCCCAGCUCCCCCCAAGAGACUUUGGUUUGCACACGUUAGCCCAUGAAAUGAGAUGAAUUUUCCUAUCCGCAUUGCUUGACCACAAAAAAUUUCGUCAUGAGCUCCAAGUGGUGAGCCAUCGAUGCUGGCAUAUGGAAUAACGAUAUCUGAAAGAGAAAAUAAGGACACGUGACGGGGAAGAGAUUUAUUAGGAAAUAGAAAAUAAGGACCCGUGACACAAAAAUAAGGAGGGCGUUGCUAUCGCUUAAUAUAUAAUAGAUAGAUAUGUGAACUCUGCUCUUAGCGGCUGUCACAUCUAUAUAGUUGGCUAGGGUGGUUUGAGUUACAAUGUCACAAGUUAGCUUUCGAUCGUCAAAUCUUGAUCUGAUGGCUCAUAGUAUUAUUAUUUUUAUUCUAUAAAUAAUUUAUAACAAAAUUUGGGACAUGUAUAUAUCUGAUAGGGGUGCACAUGAUACAAAUAGUAAAACAAUAUUUCCUUUUGAUAAGGAGGUCACAAUCAUUGUUAGAUUGUGACACUUUCAUCUAUUGGACACUUUCAUCUAUUGGACACUUUCAUCUAUUGGACACAAAACAAAAUUUCUAUAAAAUUGUGACACUUUCAUCUAUUGGAUUUCACUUUGAAUGGUUAAAAAUAAUGGUGGCCAUCUUGUACAAAAAAAUAAAUAAUCUCAUAGUACUAUCCCAUAAAUAAAUUUAUGAUAUUUUAAAAAUCUUAGCAAUAUUUUGAAAACAUCGGAUUGUACUUUUUUUUCCCCUUCAAUUCGAUGCUGUUAGUAAGCCUAUUUGAUUGCUGAAAUAAAUUAAACUUUUCAAUAAAAUAUGAGGCAUGUGCCUUAGUAACACAAAGCACCGUUUUGAGUUUUUCAACGAUGUGCCUCUAAGAAAGAGUGCUUAAUUAAUGAUAUUUUCGCACCAUUUUAGAGAGAUAAUUGUACGCAAGGGAAAAAAAGAAAAAUAAUGCAAAAAAUUAAAAAUCAAGCAGUAUUUUUGCAUGACAUUGUGAUGAGCAAUCCCACCCGUCCAUUCUCUUUAUAUAUAUGGAGGCCCUAGACCCUCAAACAGAGAAACGCUAACCGCUUUCGCCUCACUGUAAUUUCCAUCUUCUUUGGAGCCUUCCUUCCCUCUGUUCUCUCUCACCCUCUGCGAGCAAGAGGAACCAGUGCGAGCAAGAGCAGCAACCUCUCAAUAACCAGUGCGAGCAAGAGCAGCAACCUCUCAAUAACUCUCAAUCAUCAGUGAGCUCUCAAUCAUCGGUGAGUCCCUCUGUUCUCUCUCACCCUCUGCGAGCAAGAGGAACCAGUGCGAGCAAGAGCAGCAACCUCUCAAUCAUCAGUGAGCUCUCAAUCAUCAGUGAGUCCCUCUGUUCUCUCUCACCCUCUGCGAGCAAGAGGAACCAGUGAGCUCUCAAUCAUCGAUCAUCAGUGAGUCCCUCUGUUCUCUCUCACCCUCUGCGAGCAAGAGGAACCAGUGCGAGCAAGAGCAGCAACCUCUUCCCUCUGUUCUCUCUCACCCUCUGCGAGCAAGAGGAACCAGUGAGCUCUCAAUCAUCAAUCAUCAGUGAGUCCCUCUGUUCUCUCUCACCCUUUGCGAGCAAGAGUAACCAGUGCGAGCAAGAGCAGCAACCUAGCAACCUCUCAAUCAUCAGUGAGUUGUAUGCGGAUUUUCCAUUUGUUUCUGUUUUUUCUUAGUAAUUUAGGUUUUCGGUUCCUUUCAGGGUUUUGUUAGGAAUCCCUGUAAAAAAGAUUUAAGGCUUUCCUUAUUUUUCUCUGUUGUAAAAAAAUUUGGGGCUUUCCUAAUAUUUCUGUGUUGUUAAUCUCCUGG